rnacentral:snoRNA from 1 species
CAGCACUGUUCGUGACCCGCUAGCCUGUUUGCUGCUAACGGGUUCCAUUCCAGUGCAACAUUAUGCCCCAGAACCGACAACUGACUGACUGGCCGUGUGGCUCGCAGUUUUGGGUCCUGGAGACACAG